UUGAUCGCAAGUAAGAGUUGGGUGGGCAAACUCAGGGGACAGCUUCAACUAUUCUUCUUCAAACUAGAGGAAGGUUGCGGCAAUAACAGGUCUGUGAUGCCCUCAGAUGUUCUAGGCUGCACACGUGCUACAUUGAUCAGCACAAUGCGAUACAUUUCGAAAGGAAACAUCGGUUUUAAGGUAACGUCGAUUGCCUACCGAUAGCACCUGGUCCUCAGUGGACUGGGCAAUCUCUUCUAAAUGCUGGUAAGGUACCCACACUCGAGCUAUUUAAUCACACGCGGGAGGCACACACGGUUCAAAUCUCAUUUGCGACUGUUGCCGCCAUGACGUAUGCAACUUGUCAACUCUUCGUGGGGAUCGUCGAUUGCAACUAUUCGACUCGCCACAACUAGGAAUGCCUCGUACGGGUCUUGGUUCACCAUACCGCCCGG
rnacentral:rRNA from 1 species